rnacentral:rRNA from 1 species
UACGGAGGGUGCAAGCGUUGUUCGGAAUUACUGGGCGUAAAGCGUGCGCAGGCGGUUGUGCAAGACCGAUGUGAAAUCCCCGGGCUUAACCUGGGAAUGGCAUUGGUGACUGCACGGCUAGAGUGUGUCAGAGGGGGGUAGAAUUCCACGAGUAGCAGUGAAAUGCGUAGAGAUGUGGAGGAAUACCGAUGGCGAAGGCAGCCCCCUGGGAUAACACUGACGCUCAUGCACGAAAGCGUGGGGAGCGAACAGG